UACGUAGGGAGCAAGCGUUGUCCGGAAUCAUUGGGCGUAAAGCGCGCGUAGGCGCCUCAUAAGUCCGUUGUGAAAGUCAAAGGCUCAACCUUUGAAAGCCGAUGGAUACUGUGAGGCUAGAGUCCGGAAGAGGCGAGUGGAAUUCCUGGUGUAGUGGUGAAAUGCGUAGAUAAUCGGGAGGAACACCGGUGGCGAAGGCGGGUCUCUGGGCCGAUACUGACGCUGAGGAGCGAAAGCGUGGGGAGCAAACAGGAUUAAGAUAC
rnacentral:rRNA from 1 species